GACGAACGCUGGCGGCGUGCUUAACACAUGCAAGUCGAACGGAAAGGCCCUGCUUUUGUGGGGUGCUCGAGUGGCGAACGGGUGAGUAACACGUGAGUAACCUGCCCUUGACUUUGGGAUAACUUCAGGAAACUGGGGCUAAUACCGGAUAGGAGCUCCUGCUGCAUGGUGGGGGUUGGAAAGUUUCGGCGGUUGGGGAUGGACGCGCGGCUUAUCAGCUUGUUGGUGUGGUAGUUGCUUACCAAGGCUUUGACGGGUAGCCGGCCUGAGAGGGUGACCGGCCACAUUGGGCCUGCGAUACGGCCCAGACUCCUACGGGAGGCAGCAGUGGGGAAUAUUGCACAAUGGGCGGAAGCCUGAUGCAGCAACGCCGCGUGCGGGAUGACGGCCUUCGGGUUGUAAACCGAUUUCGCCUGUGCCGAAGCGUGAGUGACGGUAAUGGGUAAAGAAGCACCGGCUAACUACGUG
rnacentral:rRNA from 1 species